rnacentral:rRNA from 1 species
UACGUAGGUGGCAAGCGUUGUCCGGAAUUAUUGGGCGUAAAGCGCGCGCAGGUGGUUUCUUAAGUCUGAUGUGAAAGCCCACGGCUCAACCGUGGAGGGUCAUUGGAAACUGGGGAACUUGAGUGCAGGAGAGAAGAGUGGAAUUCCACGUGUAGCGGUGAAAUGCGUAGAUAUCAGGAGGAACACCGGUGGCGAAGGCGGCAUCCUGGCCAUGUCCUGACGCUCAGGGGCGAAAGCGUGGGGAGCAAACCGG